CUUUGUUCAUGCUAAUAAAAAUCUAGCUACUUUUGAAAUUACAGGAGGUAAAAUGCAGAACAUUUGUUAACCAAGUCACUUAUUUCGGACUAAAAAAAAGGCUGCGAGAACCGGUGACUUAGAGCUUUUUCGUCGCGACUUGGAGCUUUCUCAAACUGUUAUUGGGAAGUUUUUGGAUAGUUUUUAGAUAAGUUAGUUAAUUUAGGAAGUUGAGUUGAACUAGGAUGUUGAGUUGAACUUAUGACAAUCUAAUGAGAUUGUUUAUAUUAUUUUUGCAAAUGAUAUGAAAUAUUCAUAUAUGUAUUGUUUUGGAAA